GGAAGGCAACCGCAGCCGGUGCUGCGGCCGGGCUUCAAACCCGGUUGGGGGCGGCAGCCGCUCCCGGGUAGGUUCGACUCCUACUGCCUUCCGCCA
rnacentral:tRNA from 1 species